rnacentral:rRNA from 1 species
AGCCUAACACAUGCAAGUCGAACGGUACAGGAAGCAGCUUGCUGCUUUGCUGACGAGUGGCGGACGGGUGAGUAAUGUCUGGGAAACUGCCUGAUGGAGGGGGAUAACUACUGGAAACGGUAGCUAAUACCGCAUAACGUCGCAAGACCAAAGAGGGGGACCUUCGGGCCUCUUGCCAUCGGAUGUGCCCAGAUGGGAUUAGCUAGUAGGUGGGGUAACGGCUCACCUAGGCGACGAUCCCUAGCUGGUCUGAGAGGAUGACCAGCCACACUGGAACUGAGACACGGUCCAGACUCCUACGGGAGGCAGCAGUGGGGAAUAUUGCACAAUGGGCGCAAGCCUGAUGCAGCCAUGCCGCGUAUAUGAAGAAGGCCUUCGGGUUAGUAAAGUACUUUCAGCGGGGAGGAAGGUGUUGAGGUUAAUAACCUCAGCAAUUGACGUUACCCGCAGAAGAAGCACCGGCUAACUACCGUGCCAGCAGCCGCGGUAAUACGGAGGGUAGCAAGCGUUAAAUCNGGAAUUACUU